rnacentral:rRNA from 1 species
UGAGWCACGSCCCAGCUCCUACGGGAGGCAGCAGUGGGGAAUAUUGGACAAUGGGGGCAMCCCUGAUCCARCCAUKCCGCGUGAGUGAUGAAGGCCCUAGGGUUGUAAAGCUCUUUCACCGGUGAAGAUAAYGACGGUAACCGGAGAAGAAGCYCCGGCUAACUUCGUGCCAGCAGCCGCGGUAAUACGAAGGGGGCUAGCGUUGUUCGGAAUUACUGGKCGUAAAGCGSGMGUAGGSGGAUCGGUCAGUUAGGGGUGAAAUCCCGGGGCUCAACSCCCGGAACUGCCUCUAAUACUGCCGAUCUAGAGUUCGAGAGAGGUGAGUGGAAUUCMGAGUGUAGAGGUGAAAUUCGUAGAUAUUCGGAGGAACMCCAGUGGSGAAGGSGGCUC